rnacentral:rRNA from 1 species
UACCAGCACCCCGAGUGGUCGGGACGUUUAUUGGGCCUAAAGCAUCCGUAGCCGGUUCUACAAGUCUUCCGUUAAAUCCACCUGCUUAACAGAUGGGCUGCGGAAGAUACUAUGGAGCUAGGAGGCGGGAGAGGCAAGCGGUACUCGAUGGGUAGGGGUAAGAUCCGUUGAUCCAUUGAAGACCACCAGUGGCGAAGGCGGCUUGCCAGAACGCGCUCGACGGUGAGGGAUGAAAGCUGGGGGAGCAAACCGG